AGAGAGAGAGAGAGAGAGAGAGAGAGAGAGAGAGAGAGCACCUCGCUGCCGGACUCACGACCCACCGCGCGAGGUCUGACACGGAACCCUCGUCCUCGAGUCGUGCCCAGUUAUGGAUUGGCUGCGAAAGUAGGUGGAACGCGGGUGUGUCGCUCAUUGGACUGCCAUGUGACUUCGAUAGAGAAAGAAAGAAAAAAAAUAAAUAAAGAGGAGAGAGAGGAAAAAAAAUAUAUAUUGUGACUAUAGUGUUUUGUUUCGGAAAGUGUGGCGUUACGAUAAGUGCUCAGAAAUCCCAACCAAAGAUGUGACUGCACUGAGAUAAGAUAAGAUAAGAACCGGUGUUUUGUCUGGUUUGUUGGUUUCCUUUUUUUUAAGAAAAG